UGAACGCUGGCGGUAGGCCUACCACAUGCAAGUCGAACGGCAGCACAGUAAGAGCUUGCUCUUACGGGUGGCGAGUGGCGGACGAGUGAGGAAUACAUCGGAAUCUACUUUUUCGUGGGGGAUAACGUAGGGAAACUUACGCUAAUACCGCAUACGACCUACGGGUGAAAGCAGGGGAUCUUCGGACCUUGCGCGAUUGAAUGAGCCGAUGUUGGAUUAGCUAGUUGGCGGGGUAAAGGCCCACCAAGGCGACGAUCCGUAGCUGGUCUGAGAGGAUGAUCAGCCACACUGGAACUGAGACACGGUCCAGACUCCUACGGGAGGCAGCAGUGGGGAAUAUUGGACAAUGGGCGCAAGCCUGAUCCAGCCAUACCGCGUGGGUGAAGAAGGCCUUCGGGUUGUAAAGCCCUUUUGUUGGGAAAGAAAAGCAGCAGGUUAAUACCCCGCUGUUCUGACGGUACCCAAAGAAUAAGCACCGGCUAACUUCGUG
rnacentral:rRNA from 1 species